rnacentral:rRNA from 1 species
UGGGGAAUAUUGGACAAUGGGCGCAAGCCUGAUCCAGCCAUACCGCGUGGGUGAAGAAGGCCUUCGGGUUGUAAAGCCCUUUUGUUGGGAAAGAAAUCCAGCCGGCUAAUACCUGGUUAGGAUGACGGUACCCAAAGAAUAAGCACCGGCUAACUUCGUGCCAGCAGCCGCGGUAAUACGAAGGGUGCAAGCGUUACUCGGAAUUACUGGGCGUAAAGCGUGCGUAGGUGGUUAUUUAAGUCCGUUGUGAAAGCCCUGGGCUCAACCUGGGAACUGCAGUGGAUACUGGAUGACUAGAAUGUGGUAGAGGGUAGCGGAAUUCCUGGUGUAGCAGUGAAAUGCGUAGAGAUCAGGAGGAACAUCCAUGGCGAAGGCAGCUACCUGGACCAACAUUGACACUGAGGCACGAAAGCGUGGGGAGCAAACAGGAUUAGAUACCCUGGUAGUCCACGCCCUAAACGAUGCGAACUGGAUGUUGGGUGCAAUUUGGCACGCAGUAUCGAAGCUAACGCGUUAAGUUCGCCGCCUGGGGAGUACGGUCGCAAGACUGAAACUCAAAGGAAUUGACGGGGGCCCGCACAAGCGGUGGAGUAUGUGGUUUAAUUCGAUGC